AUUGAACGCUGGCGGCAUGCCUAACACAUGCAAGUCGAGCGGUAACAGGAAUCAGCUUGCUGCUUCGCUGAAGAGGGGCGGACGGGAGAGAAAUGUCGGGGAAACUGCCUUAUGGAGGGGGAUAACUACGGAAAACGGAAGCUAAUACCGCAUAACGUCUCAAGAGCAAGGAGGAAGAGCGACAGGCCGCUUGGCAGCGGAUGAGCGAAGGAUCCAGCAGGCAUUAGGUAGGUGGAAGGGUAACGGCUUACACAGGCGACGAUUCGUAGCCGAGCUGAGAGGGUGAUCGGCCACACUGGAACUGAGACGCGGUCCAGACUCCUACGGGAGGCAGCAGUAGGGAAUCUUCCGCAAUGGGCGAAAGCCUGACGCAGCCACGCCGCGUGAGUGAUGAAGGUCUUCGGAUCGUAAAGCUCUUUUAUUAGGGAAGAACAAAUGUGUAAGUAACUAUUCACUUCUUGACGUUACCUGCUCAGAAAGCCACGGCUAACUACGUG
rnacentral:rRNA from 1 species